CGUGAGAUGUUGGGUUAAGUCCCGCAACGAGCGCAACCCUUGCCAUUAGUUGCUACGAAAGGGCACUCUAAUGGGACUGCCGGUGACAAACCGGAGGAAGGUGGGGAUGACGUCAGGUCAUCAUGGCCCUUAUGGGUACGGGCUACACACGUCAUACAAUGGCCGGUACAGAGGGCUGCCAACCCGCGAGGGGGAGCCAAUCCCAGAAAACCGGUCGUAGUCCGGAUCGUAGUCUGCAACUCGACUGCG
rnacentral:rRNA from 1 species